GAUGAACGCUAGCUACAGGCUUAACACAUGCAAGUCGAGGGGAAACGGCAUUGAGUGCUUGCACUCUUUGGACGUCGACCGGCGCACGGGUGAGUAACGCGUAUCCACCUUCCCAUUACUGUGGGAUAACCUGCCGAAAGGCAGACUAAUACCGCAUAGUCUUCGAUGACGGCAUCAGAUUUGAAGUAAAGAUUUAUCGGUAAUGGAUGGGGAUGCGUCUGAUUAACUUGUUGGCGGGGUAACGGCCCACCAAGGCAACGAUCAGUAGGGGUUCUGAGAGGAAGGUCCCCCACAUUGGAACUGAGACACGGUCCAAACUCCUACGGGAGGCAGCAGUGAGGAAUAUUGGUCAAUGGACGGAAGUCUGAACCAGCCAAGUAGCGUGCAGGAUGACGGCCCUAUGGGUUGUAAACUGCUUUUGUAUGGGGAUAAAGUUAGGGACGUGUCCCUAUUUGCAGGUACCAUACGAAUAAGGACCGGCUAAUUCCGUGCCAGCAGCCGCGGUAAUACGGAAGGUCCAGGCGUUAUCCGGAUUUAUUGGGUUUAAAGGGAGCGUAGGCUGGAGAUUAAGUGUGUUGUGAAAUGUAGACGCUCAACGUCUGACUUGCAGCGCAUACUGGUUUCCUUGAGUACGCACAACGUUGGCGGAAUUCGUCGUGUAGCGGUGAAAUGCUUAGAUAUGACGAAGAACUCCGAUUGCGAAUGCAGCUGACGGGAGCGCAACUGACGCUUAAGCUCGAAGGUGCGGGUAUCAAACAGG
rnacentral:rRNA from 1 species